rnacentral:rRNA from 1 species
CGAGGAUCCAAGCGUUAUCCGGAUUUAUUGGGUUUAAAGGGUGCGUAGGCGGAAUAGUAAGUCAGUGGUGAAAGCCUGCAGCUUAACUGUAGAAUUGCCAUUGAUACUGCUAAUCUUGAGUACAUAUGAAGUGGGCGGAAUGUGUCAUGUAGCGGUGAAAUGCUUAGAUAUGACACAGAACACCGAUUGCGAAGGCAGCUCACUAAACUGUAACUGACGCUGAGGCACGAAAGCAUGGGGAGCAAACAGGAUUAGAUACCCUGGUAGUCCAUGCCGUAAACUAUGAUUACUCGAUGUGUGCGAUACACUGUACGCGUCUAAGCGAAAGCGUUAAGUAAUCCACCUGGGAAGUACGACCGCAAGGUUG